AUUGAACGCUGGCGGCAUGCUUUACACAUGCAAGUCAAACGGCAGCGCGGGCUUCGGCCUGGCGGCGAGUGGCGAACGGGUGAGUAAUGCAUCGGAACGUGCCCAGUAGUGGGGGAUAGCCCGGCGAAAGCCGGAUUAAUACCGCAUACGACCUGAGGGUGAAAGCGGGGGACCGAAAGGCCUCGCGCUAUUGGAGCGGCCGAUGUCGGAUUAGCUAGUUGGUGGGGUAAAGGCUUACCAAGGCGCCGAUCCGUAGCUGGUCUGGGAGGGCGACCAGCCACACUGGGACUGAGACACGGCCCAGACUCCUACGGGAGGCAGCAGUGGGGAAUUUUGGACAAUGGGGGCAACCCUGAUCCAGCCAUGCCGCGUGCGGGAAGAAGGCCUUCGGGUUGUAAACCGCUUUUGUUCGGGAAGAAAUCCUCUGGGCUAAUACCCCGGGGGGAUGACGGUACCGGAAGAAUAAGCACCGGCUAACUACGUG
rnacentral:rRNA from 1 species